rnacentral:rRNA from 1 species
GACGAACCGUGCAAACGUUGUUCGGAAUCACUGGGCUUAAAGGGCGCGUAGGCGGCGAGUCCAGUCCGGGGUGAAAGCUUCCGGCUCAACCGGAACAGGGCCUUGGAUACUGACUCGCUCGAGGGAGACAGGGGCAGGUGGAACUUCCGGUGGAGCGGUGAAAUGCGUUGAUAUCGGAAGGAACGCCGGUGGCGAAAGCGACCUGCUGGAUCUCUGCUGACGCUGAGGCGCGAAAGCCAGGGGAGCAAAC